UAAUUAAUCCUUAUUCAGUGUUUCAUAUGUCACAGGUGCUUUUGUAAGUGCCUGCUAUGAAUUAGCCUGUUGAAUUCUCAGGACAGCCCCAAGAGGAAGGCAACAUUAUCCUCGGUCCGCGGAAGAGGAAACAGAAACACAAGCAGACUGAGUGCUCCAUGAGGGAAGAACCUGUGUCUUCUUCCUACUGUUUGUCCCGCUCCUGGGACUGGGCCAGGCGCAUGGUAUGACAUGGAGAGAAUAAUAUCACGAACUCCCAUGUACCCUGCACAUCUAACUCCUGAGAUCCUUUUCCCUUUGCUGCUCUACAAUCAAUGACAUUUUUUUUUCCCUUCAUGUGAGAACAGAACCAAUUUGAACACGAGGACUUUGCUGCUUUGAGUUCCAGAACACUGUUUUGAAGAAUAUAGCGAGACAAUGGUAUGAAAGCAAAUGCUUUGGUCUUCAGAGAGCUGACUGUGUCAACAGAAAACAAAAUAAAAACGGUCUUAUGAUAUCCUUGGAGGCAGAAGUUGAAGGCUGCUCUUGAAACCAAUUAUAGAGAAUCUUGAGAAAACUGAUCAGAUGCAGGGAAGCCUUCACAAGCGGGAAGAAGAUGGCCCCUCUGGCGGUAGAUGGGCUUAGGCACAGAAGAAAGGGAAACAAAACGGGCAAAGCAUGACUCUCUGAGUUUCAUCUUAGCCAUGGUGUGAAUGUCAUGUUGGAGGGUGUUGAAACCUAAUAUCAUUUAGGAGAAUUUGCCAUCAAAACUCAUUUACCUGCAUCCUUCUGCAAAGCCUUAGGAGUUUGCAAGCCCUUCAGAGAAGCCCCAUAAUCAGCAUGAAGCUACCACCUGCUGUGGUACAGGAGUAGUGGGGAAGCAGAGGGGCAGAGGCCAUCUCUCACACACUACGUGUGCCCCAUCUAAAGAGAGCCACAGUGCAUUAUUGCCACCAGCCCCCAGAGGACCAGGAGAUCCUGAGCUUGGAAGAGGGUUGGAGUCCAUAGGAGGGCCCUGCAGAAUGUGGACAUCAAGGCUGAAGGCCACAGCAGCAUCUGCCAUUGGCAGAGGAUGCCAGCAUGAUGGCUGGGGCUGAAUGAGAGCAUCCGUGCUGCCAAGGCAGUCUGAAGAAGAAAGCAGGGUGGGAACCAGACAGCCUCCCGUGAUGCCACAAGGCUACCCAGUCUUCUGUCUGUACACCAGUGUCCUCUUGGGACAUAGGAAAAGAAUACUGAAGAAACCCCAAAAGACACACAUGCACCUAAAGAGCCUGAGGUUAUCUGAAAGGGACUGAAACCACAGCCUCCCCAGGAGCCUAUAAGCUCUCCAAGGACCAGUGCAAAGUUUUAUCCAUUUUUGUGUCCCAAGCAGCUGGUACAAAACCUUGCACUGAAAAGUAUCUCUAGGGGCGCCUGGGUGGCUCAGUUGGUUGAGCGUCCGACUUCGGCUCAGGUCAUGAUCUCACAGUCUGUGGG